rnacentral:rRNA from 1 species
CCCCUAGAUGUUCUGGGCCGCACGCGCGCUACACUGAACAGUUCAACAAGUCUUAACCUUGGCCGAUAGGUCUGGGUAAUCUUUGAACGCUGUUCGUGAUUGGGAUAGACCUUUGCAAUUAUGGGUCUUCAACGAGGAAUUCCUAGUAAACGCAAGUCAUCAGCUUGCAUUGAUUACGUCCCUGCCCUUUGUACACACCGCCCGUCGCUCCUACCGAUUGAAUGGUCCGGUGAAGCGUUCGGACCGUGGCCUUUGGACGGUUCGCCGUCUGUUGGCUGCGGGAAGUUCGUUAAACCUUAUCAUUUAGAGGAAGGGGAAGUCGUAACA